GCUUGUCUCAAAGAUUAAGCCAUGCAUGUCUAAGUAUAAACAACUUUGUACUGUGAAACUGCGAAUGGCUCAUUAUAUCAGUUAUAGUCUACUCGAUAGUACCUUACUACUUGGAUAACCGUAGUAAUUCUAGAGCUAAUACAUGCGUAAAUACCCAACUGCUUGUCGGACGGGUAGCAUUUAUUAGAUUGAAACCAAUGCAGCUUCGGCUGGUAUUGUGUUGAGUCAUAAUAACUGUUCGAAUCGCAUGCUUCGGCAGGCGAUAGUUCAUUCAAAUUUCUGCCCUAUCAGCUUUCGACGGUAGUGUAGUGGACUACCGUGGCGUUAACGGGUAACGGAGAAUUAGGGUUCGAUUCCGGAGAGGGAGCCUGAGAAAUGGCUACCACAUCCAAGGAAGGCAGCAGG
rnacentral:rRNA from 1 species